UAUGAGGGAUACUUUUCUUAAGGAACAUAUUAAUUUAUCCUUUGGUGGCAAUUUCCUCUGCUGAUCAUGUCAUAAUUCUCCCAGAAAUUUUUGUCAAGCAGGUUUUUCAGUAGAAAUUUAGAAAGUUGACGAAGUGAUAUACUUUAAGCUAAAGCUAGUCCCUUUUUUAUUCAUUGAGACCAACACUCAAUUUCAAGUGAAUUUAACACUUUAAAAAAUAAACUUUGAAUUUUCAGGCUUUUAACUGCUAAGAUGUUUUCUCCUGCUAUAGGAUUCCCUUCCCCUUCUUUUUCUCGGAAAUCCAAGAAAUUUCAGUUUUUAUAACUCCCUUGUCUCACAGGAGCUGCAUUCUCUACACCUUGUGCUCCUAUUUUGGCCAGAAAAAUAGAGAGUAAAAGCAGGAGUUUCAGAUGUGACACAAGACUGUACCCUGUGCUGAGGUGUCUCAUUCAGGUGCCUCGUGUCCUGAUCAACUAAAUCCUCAGGAGCCUGCCUAUCCAAGCACGCAGAAAGGUCAUGUACAGCAACACAUCAAAAUCCCUCUGCAGAGGAGAGGCUGACCACCAACAUGGUGAGGAGAGAACCGCCCCAGUUCUGCAACCCAUUCCGUAUCUGUUCCUGAGGAAAGAUGAGGCAGCACCAGCUUGCUCCCAUCCAUCACUGGUCAGAGGUUUGCUUGCACGCAGGGCUGUGUGACAUAUGGCCAGAACACGGGUCAUGUACAGCACUCACAGGUGGAGCAGGGCAGGCCAGAGACAAACUUAGACCUCCUGGCUGAGAGGAUGGAAAAGGGGCAGAAAAAUGUAGAAAGCUGCAGAGAAGAAAAAACAAGAAUCUGCAAUUUAAAUCCUUUCAUCCCUGAGGGGCUAAUAGAACAACUGCUUGCAAUUGCAUUAGUGCAUUUUAAUACGUUAACUGUCCCCCAGCUGCUGGUAACUGCCCCAUCAGCUGGAGUGUGGUCUGCUGACCAUUCACUUCUGCUGCUCUACAACACAAAGUCAGACAGGACCCCUCGAGAGCCUUAGGUAAACAAAGAUUAAAUCACACAGCAACACACUGGGCACAGAGUCAAGGCCAGUUGUGAUUAUCUGAGCCCCAGGGUGGUAGCUGGCUGAUGCAGUAGGAGGGAUUUUCUUAGAGAUGCAAUGAAAUUCACAGCACUGCUGCUGAUGCUGCCUUCUCUUCAAAAAUUUUCUCAUGUAAUUUACACCAGGUGUCAGUGUACGUAGAAAAUAUUGGGAUGUUAAGGAAGUCAUAACACUGGCAGAUGAUAUUUUACGUAGUAAUAUGUAUGCUGAAGACAAUACGAGUAUCUCCCAUAAGCGACUACCACUCAACAUGAAUCAUAGCUGCAAGGUCAGGCCCCUAAUGAACAGUUGUCUAGCUGUGAAUAUAUACACUUUUUCACACUGUUGUAGGCAAUGAUCUCUGAUGCCUAAUUAGGUUGAUCCGUGAAUAUGAUUAUUCAUUACCUGAAGUCUCGGAGUUCAGUAUUAUGUAUCUGUGCACUGUUCCUUAAAUAAAAAGUCUGUGAAAUUCCCAUAUCAAAUAAGGUGACUGCAAAGAAAAAUGAGGAAUGCAAAGAAAAAAGCACUGUUUGUCUCAGGACAUUCUAUGGAAGUGUGGAAGUAUGGAAAUUUCCACAAAAAUUCACCUUGAACCUGGGGUUCAAGAUGCAAGUUGAAGAUAAAUUUCAACUGACAGAGCCCUCGGAAAAGAAAGUCCAGUUCCUGCAGCCUUGUUGCUUUCCAGGCACCUAGAAAUUCCAUUCCCCUGGAACCUAGAAAUUCCAUGCCCCUGGCUCCCAGAGGUGAUUGCCAGGGCUCUGUCACAGUGGAGUGGGCAAUGACAGCCCAUACAGUGGGCUCCCUGGCAAGGAUCCAACACUGCCAGGGAGAGCAGAGUGGUUCAAAAGCCUGAAAGCCUCAGCCACUUCAGUCCAGGGGCACUAAUGUGAAAUAGAAACAAGACAUAAUGAGAUGAUGGCUAAUAGAGGAAAAGUAAAUAAGACAUAGGAAGAGGGGAGGUAGAAGCUUGAUGUGAACCGCACCCCUUUUACCCCUUCAGCUCCUCAGCUUGAUUAGGAUGGGCCUUUCCCAGAAGACUUUAAGUCCCUUCUACAGUACCUGUUUCAAGAGCAAUGCCUCCUAUUUUAUUACAUUGGCCCAUGAGAGCCAAUCAGAGGUGGAUGUUAGUGGUGUGGCAGCAGAGGAUGAACCUUCCCACCAAUAUUCCAUCACAUUUUGUCACCGAGCGACAGAUGGCAGCAGAGGGGCAGUCUGACAAAAAUGACAUCUGACACGGAAGUGCACGUGAAGCAAAGGUGUGUGACUAAAUUCCUCCACACAGAAAACAACACACCUAUUGACCUUGGUCAACUUCUAUAAUUAGACCAAAUGUUUAUGCUGAAUGUUUACAGAGACCAAACAGGGGGUGUGAGCACAGUGAGUGGUGCAUUUCAGCAGUGG
ensembl:lncRNA